UGAGCUGUAGCAGGAGGGCAAGGAGCUCUUGUCUGUCUGCGAGACAAAUCAGCUGCAUGCUAUAAUCUUGGGAGCAUCAACAGAAAGAAAUUUGUGAACAGUGCAAAGAAAACAGGGACUAUCUGGGACAAAUUGUCCUGAGCUGAGCCACUUCUAAAUUCUCUGUUCUCGUGAGGACAACCAGAAGGGAGCUACAGGUGUUCCAGUGCUUUUCCCUGGACUAAGAUUAUCCAAGGACCAGAAUGUGCUGGCAUGGCUGCCUUUUACCUCCAGUGCUUCUGGAGCUGGAGGUCCCUUCUCCAGGCUGACACUGAGCAACUUCCUUCCCCUCAGCUUUCAUGAGAGGCAACCAAGCGUGAGCAGUGCCAUUCCCAGCUGCAGUGUGGAGGGUAAUGGGAGAGUGAUGCAUGCAUUGUGGGGUCUCAUGCCAGACACCACCAUCGAGGCUGAGUUAAAACUUUAAUUUAUUUUAAUGCAGUUGUUGGGGCAUUUUAAUUCCAUCAAAGGAAAUGACACAAGACAAUCUACAAACAUUCAUUUGAUGCUUUUAAAUGAAUUGGAUUCAGCUGUGCUGGGUUUCUCCUUCUGGGGUUCUACUUUGAGAUUUACUUCUUGCUCAGAGGCGUAAGCAGUUAAGGACUGUGAACCUUAAAAAUUGCAAUCUAUAUUCAGUGUUUCAUACAUGAAUAUUUAAGCAGAGUGAUAUUCUCUAUUCUUUCUGUAAGGCCCCAUUUUUAAUCAUUAAUGUCUGUUCUUUUGAGCAAAUAAGCUCCGUGUAUACAUGACUUGUAUGCAUUUUAAAAAAUGAUAGUUCUCUGGGACAAGUUCCAGUGUCACAAUAUGCUGUAUAUGAAUAUUUAUGGAUCCAUCAACAUCGGUGAAUAUUGAAUUUGCUGAUAAACAUUGUGGAGGACUUUUUUUUUUUUUUUUUUUUAAAGAGGCAGAAAAAUAAUUUCCAAAUUGGGUCUAAUUCAGCACAUAUUUUUGGCCAAAAAUAAUCUGUUGUUUUUAAGAAAAAAACAAGCUUUUUCACUGAACGCAACUUUUGCAUGCAUAAUUUAUUUCAAUUACAGAAAAAAGCAACUUUUUCAUUGAUACUAAAUAACACAAAGCACAAAAAUUAUGUCAUAUGUGGCAAAGAUUUAAAGUGAACAAAAAUGAAAUUUGAGAGUUUGGGAAUAUAAGACUUACAUUACCCAUUACUUGCAUGUUAGUUGUAGUAUACUGAUCAAUGUGCUUGCAUCAGCAUUUUCAGGCUGCAAUAAAAGCUUUUCAUCCAGAUACAUUGGUGUUUUGUUAGAAUUGUGCAGAAAACCUAUCAAUCUGUUGUGAGAAUGUACAUACAUCUUGCAUCGUGUAUAAGUUGCACUGAAUAUUGUUGCCUCUUGCACUCAGAUCACAAAUGUAGCACUAUUGCUUCUUUUUAUUCUAUUUUUAUUAUUUUUUUCUUAAUAUAUUUUUACAUACCUCUUAGUACCUUCAAUGAAACAUCCUUGUAUUAAUAUGGGCAAAAUGAGUGUGAACAGAGCAUGACCAUAAAUAACCACAGAGGAAGGUCCUGUUGCAACCCGUAUGACGUCUCUAAAUCAACUGUGUCAGAAAGAUACUUGCUAGCUUGGUGUGUAUUGGUGUUUGACUUAGGAAUGAGAACAACAUAUCAGUACUUCCCAUAGGAUGGCAACACCAUUUUUCAGUCAUCUCUAGCUGUGUAUGGGAGAUUAAAGCGAUGCAGAUGGUGGUAUGAAGGAGAGAACAGUGAAAAGACCGGGAAGAGCUUGAGGAAAUGCAGAGUGCUGAAUCCUUUUGCUGAAGAUGACUCAGACACGGGCAGUUCAGGCUGCAGUCCUUUUCUUGAUGAUCCACCUGUUUGGAGGGUCAGCUUAUAGAAGGGUGGUCAUGAGGCUGUGUUGAAUUGCUCAUCAAUCUCCAAGCUGUCUUUGCUAAUGGUGACAUGGAAGAUGAAAUCCAGCACUUCCUGCUUUUUGGCUUACAGAAGGGAUCUCAAUGAGUCAAGAAUGCUAAACUGCAGUGAGAGGGUGAUGUGGAAAUACUCACCUGACCAUGACCUAGCUCUUCGUAUUUACCCUGUGGACUUGAAUGACGAGGGAAAUUACACCUGUGAAAUUGUCAGCA